UACGUAGGGUGCAAGCGUUGUCCGGAAUUAUUGGGCGUAAAGGGCUCGUAGGCGGUUUGUCGCGUCGGGAGUGAAAACACCGGGCUUAACUCGGUGCUUGCUUUCGAUACGGGCAGACUGGAGGUAUGCAGGGGAGAACGGAAUUCCUGGUGUAGCGGUGAAAUGCGCAGAUAUCAGGAGGAACACCGGUGGCGAAGGCGGUUCUCUGGGCAUGAUCUGACGCUGAGGAGCGAAAGUGUGGGGAGCGAACAGG
rnacentral:rRNA from 1 species